GACGAACGCUGGCGGCGUGCUUAACACAUGCAAGUCGAACGGAAAGGCCCUGCUCUUGUGGGGUGCUCGAGUGGCGAACGGGUGAGUAACACGCGAGUAACCUGUCCUUGACUUUGGGAUAACUUCAGGAAACUGGGGCGAAUACCGGAUAGGAGCUCCUGCUGCACGGUGGGGGUUGGAAAGUUUCGGCGGUUGUGGAUGGACUCGCGGGUUAUCAGCUUGUUUGUGGGGUAGUUGCUUACCAAGGCUUUGACGGGUAGCCGGCCUGAGAGGGUGACCGGCCACAUUGGGACUGAGGUACGGCCCAGACUUCUACGGGAGGCAGCAGUGGGGAAUAUUGCACAAUGGGCGGACGCCUGAUGCAGCGGCGCCGCGUGCGGGAUGACGGCCUUCGGGUUGUAAACCGCUUUCGACUGUAACGAAGCGUGAGUGACGGUAAUGGGUAAAGAAGCACCGGCUAACUACGUG
rnacentral:rRNA from 1 species